GACAGAGGGUGCAAACGUUGAUCGGAAUUACUGGGCGUAAAGCGCGUGUAGGCGGCCAUCUAAGUCGGGCGUGAAAUCCCACGGCUCAACCGUGGAAGUGCACUCGAAACUGGAUGGCUAGAGUCCUGGAGAGGAAGGUGGAAUGCUUGGUGUAGAGGUGAAAUUCGUAGAUAUCAAGCGGAACACCGGUGGCGAAGGCGGCCUUCUGGACAGUGACUGACGCUGAGACGCGAAAGCGUGGGGAGCAAACAGG
rnacentral:rRNA from 1 species